rnacentral:rRNA from 1 species
GACGAAGGGGGCAAGCGUUGUUCGGAAUUACUGGGCGUAAAGCGUGCGCAGGCGGCUUCGCAAGUCAGGCGUGAAAGCCCCGGGCUUAACCUGGGAAUUGCGCUUGAAACUACGGUGCUGGAGUGCGGCAGAGGAAGGUGGAAUUCCACGUGUAGCGGUGAAAUGCGUAGAGAUGUGGAGGAACACCAAUGGCGAAGGCAGCCUUCUGGGUCGACACUGACGCUCAUGCACGAAAGCGUGGGGAGCAAACAGG